CUUGACCUCGGAUCAGGUAGGGAUACCCGCUGAACUUAAGCAUAUCAAUAAGCAUAUCAAUAAGCGGAGGA
rnacentral:rRNA from 1 species